AUUCCGGUUGAUCCCGCCGGAGGCCACUGCUAUUGGGAUUCGACUAAGCCAUGCGAGUCUAUGGUUUCGGCCAUGGCGGACGGCUCAUUAACACGUGGUUAACAUACCCUCAGGUGGGGGAUAACCUUGGGAAACUGAGGAUAAUACCCCAUAGAAAAAGCAGUCUGGAACGAUUCUUUUUCGAAAGCAUAUGCGCCUGAGGAUUGGACUGCGCUCGAUUAGGUAGUUGGUGGGGUAAUGGCCCACCAAGCCUACGAUCGGUACGGGCCUUGAGAGAGGAAGCCCGGAGAUGGGGACUGAGACACGGCCCCAGGCCCUACGGGGCGCAGCAGGCGCGAAACCUCCGCAAUGCACGAAAGUGCGACGGGGGGAUCCCAAGUGCUCAUGCACAGCAUGGGCUUUUAUCAAGUGUAAACAGCUUGAGGAAUAAGGGCUGGGCAAGUUCGGUGCCAGCAGCCGCGGUAACACCGACGGCCCGAGUGGUGGCCACUUUUAUUGGGCCUAAAGCGUCCGUAGCCGGUCCAGUAAGUCCUUGUUUAAAUCCUGCGGCUUAACCGCAGGACUGGCAGGGAUACUGCUGGACUUGGGACCGGGAGAGGACAAGGGUACUUCAGGGGUAGCGGUGAAAUGUGUUGAUCCUUGAAGGACCACCUAUGGCGAAGGCACUUGUCUGGAACGGGUCCGACGGUGAGGGACGAAAGCCAGGGGCGCGAACCGGAUUAGAUACCCGGGUAGUCCUGGCCGUAAACUUUGCGAACUAGGUGUUAGGUGGGCCCCGUGCCCAUCUAGUGCCGAAGGGAAGCCGUUAAGUUCGCCGCCUGGGGAGUACGGUCGCAAGACUGAAACUUAAAGGAAUUGGCGGGGGAGCACCACAACGGGUGGAGCCUGCGGUUUAAUUGGAUUCAACGCCGGGCAUCUCACCAGGAGCGACAGCAUGAUGACGGUCAGGUUGACGACCUUGCCUGAAGCGCUGAGAGGUGGUGCAUGGCCAUCGUCAGCUCGUACCGCGAGGCGUCCUGUUAAGUCAGGUAACGAGCGAGACCCGUGCCCUAUGUUGCUACUUUUUCCUCCGGGAGAAAGGCACUCAUAGGGGACCGCUGGCGCUAAGUCAGAGGAAGGAGCGGGCAACGAUAGGUCCGCAUGCCCCGAAUCUCCUGGGCUACACGCGGGCUACAAUGGCUAGGACAAUGGGCCGCAACCCUGAAAAGGGACGCAAAUCUCCUAAACCUAGUCGUAGUUCGGAUCGUGGGCUGUAACUCGCCCACGUGAAGCUGGAAUCCGUAGUAAUCGCAGUUCAUAAUACUGCGGUGAAUGUGUCCCUGCUCCUUGCACACACCGCCCGUCACACCACCCGAGUUGGGUUGAAGUGAGGCCUUGGCCUUUGGCUAGGGUCGAACUUGGGCUCAGCGAGGGGGGUGAAGUCGUAACAAGGUAGCCGUAGGGGAACCUGCGGCUGGAUCACCUCCU
rnacentral:rRNA from 2 species